GUUUUAGCAACAAUAAAAACAUUGCAAUAAUUUCUGAAUUUACAAUUAGCCUUUGUCUCUUAAUUUCAUAUGCAUUAAUGUAGCAGUGCAUUGAUUCUUUCUGAAUGUGUGAAUAUCAAAAUCUUGCAGCAUUCAUUGUUUCAUGGAAGACUCCAGUUCAUUGACAAAAUGAAACUGAUUGUCAUUACAGAGCCUCUUUGUAUUAAUUACCACAACA
rnacentral:lncRNA from 1 species